CAAUAAGUGUUUUAUGGCACUUUUUCAAUCCAUAUCCACCUUGUGUGCAAUGUUGUCUUGUAACGCGAAUGCUUGUCAUUUGCGCUACAGGAUGUAAACAUCAACUUAUCCUUGAACUCUUUGUCUGAAAAAUAUUAUGAAUAAAAUAAUUCAAAAUA
rnacentral:misc_RNA from 1 species